rnacentral:rRNA from 1 species
GUUUGCCACCAUACCACUCUGAACAUUCCUGAUCUUUUCUGAACUCAGAAGCUAAGCAGGACUGGACCUAGCACUUAGAUGGUAGAGAAUC